rnacentral:rRNA from 1 species
GACGAACGCUGGCGGCGUGCUUAACACAUGCAAGUCGAACGGAAAGGCCUUGAUUUUGUGGGGUGCCCGAGUGGCGAACGGGUGAGUAACACGUGAGUAACCUGCCCUUGACUUUGGGAUAACUUCAGGAAACUGGGGCUAAUACCGGAUAGGAGCUCCUGCUGCAUGGUGGGGGUUGGAAAGUUUCGGCGGUUGGGGAUGGACUCGCGGCUUAUCAGCUUGUUGGUGGGGUAGUGGCUUACCAAGGCUUUGACGGGUAGCCGGCCUGAGAGGGUGACCGGCCACAUUGGGACUGAGAUAGGGCGCAGACUCCUACGGGAGGCAGCAGGGGGAAAUAUUGCACAAUGAGCGGAAGCCUGAUGCAGCAACGCCGCGUGCGGGAUGACGGCCUUCGGGUUGUAAACCGCUUUCGCCUGUGACGAAGCGUGAGUGACGGUAAUGGGUAAAGAAGCACCGGCUAACUACGUG